CAAACGGCUCUUUUAAGAGCCACCCACGGUGUCAAAAGAGGAGCUG
rnacentral:ncRNA from 1 species